UACGUAGGGGGCAAGCGUUGUCCGGAAUUAUUGGGCGUAAAGAGCGCGUAGGCGGUCCGAUAAGUCGGCUGUGAAAGUCAGGGGCUCAACCCUUGGAAGCCGGCCGAUACUGUCGGACUAGAGUCCGGAAGAGGCGAGUGGAAUUCCCGGUGUAGCGGUGAAAUGCGCAGAUAUCGGGAGGAACACCAAUGGCGAAGGCAGCUCUCUGGGACGGUACUGACGCUGAGACGCGAAAGCGUGGGGAGCGAACAGG
rnacentral:rRNA from 1 species